rnacentral:rRNA from 1 species
UACAGAGGCCACAAGCGUUAGGCGGAAUCACUGGGCUUAAAGCGUGUGUAGGCGGGAUGGUAAGUACUUUGUGAAAUCCCACGGCUCAACCGUGGAAAUGCUUGGUAUACUGCCGUUCUUGAAUCACCUAGGGGCAGCUGGAACUGAUGGUGGAGCGGUGAAAUGCAUAGAUAUCAUCAGGAACGCCAAUGGUGCAGACAAGCUGCUGGGGGUGUAUUGGACGCUGAGGCACGAAAGCUAGGGGAGCAAACGGG